GAUGAACGCUGGCGGCGUGCUUAACACAUGCAAGUCGAACGAAGCAUUUGCGACAGAUUUUUUCGGAAUGAAGUUGCUUAUGACUGAGUGGCGGACGGGUGAGUAACGCGUGGGUAACCUGCCUUGUACUGGGGGAUAGCAGCUGGAAACGGCUGGUAAUACCGCAUAAGCGCACAAUGUUGCAUGACAUGGUGUGAAAAACUCCGGUGGUGUAAGAUGGACCCGCGUCUGAUUAGCUAGUUGGUGAGAUAACAGCCCACCAAGGCGACGAUCAGUAGCCGACCUGAGAGGGUGACCGGCCACAUUGGGACUGAGACACGGCCCAGACUCCUACGGGAGGCAGCAGUGGGGAAUAUUGCACAAUGGAGGAAACUCUGAUGCAGCGACGCCGCGUGAGUGAAGAAGUAAUUCGUUAUGUAAAGCUCUAUCAGCAGGGAAGAUAGUGACGGUACCUGACGAAGAAGCUCCGGCUAAAUACGUG
rnacentral:rRNA from 1 species